UUUCAAUGAGCGUUAAAGCUUAAUUUACCUCAAAUAAAAUACCUAAAACAACCAUGAACCCUCCCUCCCCACUGAAUGAUCUCAUAAUAUAUGAAAAACAUCAUGCUAGAACUAGUAACAUGAACCUAAAGUUCUCCUAAAUGUAAAUAUAAGCCAAAAUGGAUACUCCAUUGGCAGUUAACGAAAAUGACCAUCUUACAGAAACAUAUCAAGAAAACCCUGAAUUUCCAAUCGUUAACCUAACACCAGAACAUUUCCGGAAAGAUUAAAAGAAAAAGAAGGAACUCGGCAAACUUCCACCCCGCCUGUUUACCAAAAACAUCGCCUCUUGACACUAAUAAGAGGUCAAGCCUGCCCAGUGACAAAGUUCAACGGCCGCGGUACCCUAACCACGCAAAGGUAGCAUAAUCACUUGUCCCCUAAAUAGGGACUUGUAUCAACGGCAUCACGAGGGUCGCACUGUCUCCUUACUCCAAUCAGUGAAACUGAUCUCCCUGUGAAAAAGCAGGGAUAAAUAUAUAAGACGAGAAGACCCCAUGGAGCUUUAAACCCACAGCAACUUAACUUUAAACUUCUGCACAUCUAAAAGAAAUGCCCAUUGGUUUUAGGUUGGGGUGACCACGGAGUAAAAAUAAACCUCCAUAACGCAUAAACCUAAAUUUUUAUUCAAGAGCCACAACUCUAAAAACUAGCACACUAAUGUCCACUGAUCCGAUAGUCGAUUAAUGAACCAAGUUACCCUGGGGAUAACAGCGCAAUCUAUUUCAAGAGUUCUUAUCGACAAAUAGGCUUACGACCUCGAUGUUGGAUCAGGGUAUCCUAGUGGUGCAACCGCUACUAACGGUUCGUUUGUUCAACGAUUAAAACCCU
rnacentral:rRNA from 1 species